rnacentral:lncRNA from 1 species
GGUACCCUUGUGAGACACUGGAAAGCUGGUUUUACCGUGGCCCUAUGAAGAGGAAGACUGAAAUUUAGACAGUAAUACCUUUACUAGGAUUGGAAAAGAUUUGGUUAAUGACAGCCCUGUCAUUUCUAAAACCCAUUAUCACUGUAUGAGAGAUUCCUUUGCGCUGCAUCCUCGACAGUGCUUCCUAAGGCUCUGCCGACUUCCAGUUCUGGAACAAGAUGGUUAAACUCAUUUUUCCCUGCUCUGCUCCUCUAAAUACAACUAAGUACCUUGGAAACUAUUCAGCAGACAAUGAUAAAGGGCUCUGAAAGCUAGAAGAAAAGGUGUACUUGCAAGAAACCUCAGGACUUGAGUAACAGCAACAUGGCAGGCCAGAAAGCAGACCCAGGGAGGAUAGCACAUGUCUUCGGCUACACUGGUGAAGGCAUCGUGCCUGCUCCACAGCACAUUUUUAUUCAAGUCUUGGACGAGCCUGAGGAUGUCUACAAGUGGAAGAAAAGAAGCCACUGGAGCAGAAGGUGGGGAGGAUAAAAUUUGGAGCAAGAUUCUCAAGGAAGCAACAAGAUCCUAAGGAAAGGAGAAAGAGACUACCUACUGCAUUUCUGUCACUCGCUGAAAAGGACACUCUGUCAGAAAAUCUUCUAGCAAACUUCAAAGGGCAAAAUCACCCCUUGUUACUGAUAAAGCCCAGAGAGCUUCAGCAGCUAACAUUCCCUGGACAGGGCACAGCAAGGAUUUGAACCUAGGUCAGUCUGGCCAGAACACCCACAAGCUUUCCUUAACUCAGUGUGCUAUCUCCCCACGACUAGGUCACUACUGCUUUAUAAUCACCUUUGUAGCCACCAGUGGAUUUUGCUCAUCAGUAUUUUUCAGGCAAUUGAUACUUUAGAUAUUCAGCUGCAAGACGUAUGCAGUUUUCAUUGACAUCUUUUGGAGAAACUGACAAACCUGGACUUGACUUAAUGCCUUUGGAACCUUCCAAGAUGUUAUAUAACUCUAGAUAGAAGGCUGGGCCUCCAUGAUGUCAGGAAUGUUGCAUUCUUAUUUCCCCAUAGAUAAACCCAUUUGUCCACAAAGUCAAGGAGUCAGGCAGAGGCCCUUGCCAUGGGGCUUUUUAGGAUAAAGCAACAAGCCUGGACUUUGCUCUACAACAGGGUUUUGCAUAGGGAGUGGUAUGACCAGAUCCCUCAAGAAAGAAAGCUUAGAGACCAGGCCAGAGUCCACUGCAGUAGCCCAGUCAAGAGAGGAUGGUGACUUGGACUUGUAGUAGAGCCAGUUAGAAUGAAAGAAAUUGACACAUUCAGAAAUGGUUUUAGAGAUAGAGUCAAACUGGACCUGAUAAAGAACUAGAGAAGCGGAGUGAGGAUAAAGAGAAGAGCCAUGACUGACUCGGAAGAUUUUGUCUUGAAAAACUUGAGAACUCAAGACAGAGUGAAAUAAAAUCACAUGUGGGAAAAA